rnacentral:misc_RNA from 1 species
GAUGAAGAACGCAGCGAAAUGCGAUAAGUAAUGUGAAUUGCAGAAUUCAGUGAAUCAUCGAAUCUUUGAACGCACCUUGCACCCUUUGGUAUUCUGAAGGGUAUGCUCGUUUGAGUGUCAUUGUACUCUCACACUCCCGAUCUUGAGUUGGGAGCGGUGGACUUGGGUGUUGCUGCUUACUGUGGCUCACCUCAAAUCGAUUCGUGCACCUCUUGGUUGGACAUAGUACGGCGUGAUAAGUGUCUUCGCCGGCACCUCAGUAGAGGGUGGCUGAUCGGGAGCUCUGCUUCAAACCGUCCUCGGACAACAACUGACAACUUGACCUCAAAUCGAGUAGGACUACCCGCUGAACUUAAGCAUAUCAAUAAGCGGAGGA